UUCAAUUUAAUUUCUUGGUUAUCUCAUUUAAUUCCAUUUUUCAAAGUACUCGUGAAAUUCAUACAAGUAAGCCACGCGUGUGGACAUUUACUGCAUAACUCCCACUACUUUAAUGGAUUUAAAUAUUUUUUUAUAGAAACCUCAUCUGACAAACUUAUGAAAGAACAAACAUGAAGUAAGCCACGCGGGUGGACGUUUACUCACAUCGCCAAUCAAUUUGUCUAGAGACCGCUUGUGGAGGUCUAAAAUAAUUUUUAAGCACUAUAAAAAUUAUUGAAAACAGCUUAGUCUUUGAAAAAGAUUACAGCAAUUGAUAUUGAUGACAGCAAAUUCACUCUAUCCACUGCUUCACAUGGGCAGGGACGGAGCCAGGGGGGGCUAGGGGGGCCUAGAGCCCCCUCCCAAAUUUUGUAGUUUUUUUUUUUUAAUUUUUUAUUUUAAAUUUUAAAAUAUAUGUAGAUAUAUGUUUAUACCUAUUAUAAAAUAAUUUUGUUUUAUAAAAUAGUAUUUGGUUAUUAUAUUCUCUCAUAUAUACUUAAUUUAAGGAUAAUUUUGUUUUUUAAAACUAUAUGAUCUAUAAAAUAUUGUUUGUUAUUAUUACUAUUAUACUUGUCUUUUAAUAAAAAAUGCCUAAUAUGUAUGAAAUGCUAAAAAAAAUUAUAAUGUAUUGAAACUAAUUUGUAAUAUAUAGAAAAUAUAUAAUCUAUGGACAUGUUGUUUGUUAUUAUUAUUAUUAUGCUUGCCUUUUAAUAAAAAAUGUCUUAAAUAUACGGAAUUUCCAAAAAAAGUUUUGUGAUAUAUUGAAACUAUAUAAUCUAUGAAAAUAUUGUUCGUUAUUAUUAGUAUUAUGCUCGUAUUUUAAAAAAAAAAUACCUUAAAUAUACUGAAUGCCCAAAAAAAAUUCUCGGGGGUUACCGCCCCCGAACCCCCGUACAAGUUCAGCCCCCCCCGAACUAAAUUCCUGGCUCCGUCCCUGCACAUGGGCAAUUAGUUUGUGCUUACAUGACAUAUACAAAAAAAU
rnacentral:lncRNA from 1 species